ACUUGACAACCUGAUUCUAACAUUUACAUAGAUGAUCAAAGAACCAAGAAUAACCUGGACGUUUUGCUCAACGGAAUACCAAUACUUAAGGUAAAAUAACUGAGUUUGAGAUAAACAAUGGAUCGGAAUACGGAGCCCAUAAGAAAAUCCAUGCAUAUAUGAAACGUGCUUGAAAACAGAGGCUUCUCUGCGGUUCAGUUGGGGGAAAAGACGGACUAUACAAUAAGUAGUACUGAGAGAACUGAGUAUUCAUAUGAGAAUCAGAGAAAAUUAGAAUCCCAUCGCAAACCACAUAUAAAACUUAACUCUGGAUGCAUUCAGAAUAGUUGAUUGCGUGUUGGCCAAUGAAAGUAGAUUCAAGGACAACCACAGGAGCAGAGGGAGAUGAUUUCUGGAGGAAGAAAGAGGCUGAACAGAAAGACACAGAAGAGGAAAGUGGAAAAACAAAACUUCUAGGCCCUCCUGCAAACAGGCAACAUGGGGGG